GACAGAGGGUGCAAACGUUGUUCGGAAUUACUGGGCGUAAAGCGUGUGUAGGCGGCUUAGCAAGUCGGAUGUGAAAGCCCCGGGCUCAACCCGGGAAGUGCACUCGAUACUGCUGAGCUUGAGUGUCGGAGAGGUUGGUGGAAUUCUCGGUGUAGAGGUGAAAUGCGUAGAGAUCCGGAGGAACACCAGUGGCGAAGGCGGCCAGCUGGGCCGUCCCUGACGCUGAGGCGCGAAAGCGUGGGGAGCAAACAGG
rnacentral:rRNA from 1 species